rnacentral:rRNA from 1 species
GCUAAUACCGGAUAAGAAAGCGGAUCGCAUGAUCAGCUUUUAAAAGGCGGCGUAAGCUGUCGCUAUGGGAUGGCCCCGCGGUGCAUUAGCUAGUUGGUAAGGUAAAGGCUUACCAAGGCGAUGAUGCAUAGCCGAGUUGAGAGACUGAUCGGCCACAUUGGGACUGAGACACGGCCCAAACUCCUACGGGAGGCAGCAGCG